GCAGGCUGCAACUCGCCUGCAUGAAGUCGGAAUUGCUAGUAAUCGCGGAUCAGCACGCCGCGGUGAAUACGUUCCCGGGCCUUGUACACACCGCCCGUCACACCAUGAGAGCCGGUAACACCCGAAGUCAAUAGUCUAACCGCAAGGAGGACAUUGCCGAAGGUGGGAUUGGUAAUUGGGGUGAAGUCGUAACAAGGUACC
rnacentral:rRNA from 1 species